UGGCGGACGGGUGAGUAAUGUCUGGGAAACUGCCCGAUGGAGGGGGGUAACUACUGGAAACGGUAGCUAAUACCGCAUAACGUCGCAAGACCAAAGAGGGGACCUUCGGGCCUCUUGCCAUCGGAUGUGCCCAGAUGGGAUUAGCUAGUAGGUGGGGUAACGGCUCACCUAGGCGACGAUCCCUAGCUGGUCUGAGAGGAUGACCAGCCACACUGGAACUGAGACACGGUCCAG
rnacentral:rRNA from 1 species